UACAGAGGUCCCAAGCGUUGUUCGGAUUCACUGGGCGUAAAGGGUGCGUAGGCGGUCGGGUAAGUCUGAUGUGAAAUCUCACAGCUUAACUGUGAAACUGCAUUGGAUACUAUUCGGCUAGAGAGUUGGAGGGGGGACUGGAAUUCUUGGUGUAGCAGUGAAAUGCGUAGAUAUCAAGAGGAACACCAGUGGCGAAGGCGAGUCUCUGGACAACUUCUGACGCUGAGGCACGAAAGCUAGGGGAGCAAACAGG
rnacentral:rRNA from 1 species